UCCAAUUAUUUUCUCAGUAUCCAAACAAACACACAUACAAACAACAGUACUUUGCUUCCAUUCCACAACCAAAAAGGUAACUCAUUUAACCUUUCCUCGAACUUUCUUUCUCUCUUUCUCAACUUGAUUAUAUUUACUUUCUCUCUCAAAUUCUCUACUUUGUUUUUUUCCCCUUUGUAUGGGAAAAUCGAUUCCUUGGACGACCACCUCCAGAAUAUACCAAUUCUCUAAAACGACGUCGCAGAUCCCUGGAAUCGCCGACCAAAGUUUGAAGAAGAAGAUGGAGAAGGAGAAGGAGACGGUAAGUAGCUCCAACGACAGUCGUUUGCCGCUUUCUGAGGUCGUUUCAGAUUGUGUGAAACGGUGGUUUAAGGACACACUCAAGGAGGCCAAAACUGGAGAUAUUAACAUGCAAGUUUUGGUGGGUCAGAUGUAUUUUAGUGGCUAUGGCGUUCCCAGAGAUGCUCAGAGGGGAAGGAUUUGGAUUACAAGGGCAUCAAGAACUAGAUCCUUUUGGAAAGUUAGUGAUAAGCAUCCAGGUUAUAAUGCAAGUGAUUCAGAUUCAGAUGAACUCAAGGGUGAUUCUUAGUCUUAGAUAGACUAGAAUCAAAUCCUGUCAAUUGGGCUUUUUCAUGGUAUAGCGGUUGCAUGUUUUCGUGGAACUUUUACAAGAAGAAAUGCAGUGUCAUGUUUUCAUGGACCUUUUUUGCUUGUAAAGCAAUUUCCAUGCUUAUAUAUGUAUGCAUUAUAUUGCUUGUAUUGUUGUAACAUAAAUGUUGUUCGAAAAGUAAUCAAAACAUCAAGUAAAAAUACUGAAUGGAAAAACAUAUUCCUGAGCCUCUAGAUGGUGCUGAUGAAUCAUUACCAUUCUUAUAAGCGUGUUUAACGAAAGCACUCAAGAGACUAAGGUCGAGUUGUGAGGCUAUUAUGAUUUGCUCGGUCUCAUGAGCUUAUGGUGUUCCACCCCUCAUAGGAGAUUUGCUUGCUUGGCUAGGUUGGUUCACAUGGUCGAUUAUGUUUGUGUUUGUUACAAAGUUUUUGAUUUUUUUUUGGCCCCAUUUAGAUUAGAUGGCUUGUUUGGUGAUUUUAGACUAAAACAAAAUUUCACCUCAAAAUUUAUUCUCAUUGAUGUGAUAUCUUUUCUAACCACUCCACUUGAGUAUAGUCAUGUUAGAAAAUGUGUUAUAUUAUUAUGUGUAAAUUUUGAAAGUAAAUUUUGUGUCCUAAUCAUUUAUAAUGACAAUUGACAAUAUAUAUAACUGUUCAUUGGCUUUA